UUCCUCUCUCCCUUCUUUCUCUCCGAACUUCCUUUCUUUUUUCUUAGCGCUGAAGAUUGAAGCCAGGGCCUUUGCGUUGAGCAAUAUUCUCCAAAAUGACUACAGUUAACAGAGGCAAUGUGGCAGAAGAAUCCUCAGACAUUGUAACAAAGUAAUUUCCAGAGCGUUACACAAAUAUCAGGCUGGUACAAAGCGCAAGAAGACAACAGAUAACAGGUUCGAACUCAGGUCCUUGCACUUGCGAGACAGGCAGCAGAAUGACUGAGCAUUUGUCCCCAAACUGGAAACACCACCAGUGUCGCCAGGACACAAGUGAAAAAGUUGACGAAGGCCACCAGCACAGCAUCAAAGAGGCCGUUGUCUCUCACCGUAGCUUGAAAAGGCGAUGACACUACCAAGUCCCAGAUCUACGUAGGCAAAGACCCUGAACAGCAGCUUCUCUCCAGACCUUGG